rnacentral:rRNA from 1 species
UAUUAUACUAAUGAAUAUUAUGAAAAUCUGAAUUAUUAAUAGGUAUAUUCUUUAAAUUUGAAGAAUUUGGCGGUAAUUUAGUCUUGUUAGAGGAACCUGUUUUUGAAUCGAUACACCACGUAAAAUCUUACUCACCAUUAUAAAGUUUAUAUACCAUCAUUAGCAGAUAAUUUUUAAAAAAUUAAUUAUUAAAGUUUAAAGAUAAGUUAAUUUAAAUUAGAUCAAGGUGUAGCCUAUAGGUGAGUUAAAAUGGGUUACAAUAAAAUUUAUUUAGAACGGAGCAAGCACAAGAAAUUAGUCUUGUAGAAGGAGGAUUUAAUUGUAAUGAAAGUUUAAUAAGCUAAAAAGAUAAAAGCUCUAAAUUAU